UCAACUAUUAGCAUCAAAGGUGAGGGCAUAUUCAGUAUUUCCUUCAUCACUGUUAGGAUCAAUGGGACAAGUUCCCUAUUCAAGUAGAACAACAAUGGAUGCAGAGAUCACACCAACCAAGAGCUUAUCCAGUAAGAAGAUGAGGACCAAUUCUUAUUGGCAGUUUUCGUCGCAUAUAGCAAGCGCAGCCGCAACUAUGAGAUAUAGAAUACAAAGAAGAUCGGAUUUUGCGCAAGACGAUAUGGUAUGUUAUCAUUAUGAGAUACCUUCCAACUGGUUAGCUAGCGUCAACCAAGUAUUCGAAUUCGGAAUUGGAGGCCAACUUUGGAAUACAGGCCAAUUUAGAAUAUCCGAGCAAGAUGGUACGGGCUUAGCAGCCUCACUUGCCUCACCAAGAAAUAAACUAUAUUAAUGUCGAAUCAGAAAUGGACACCCUGAUAGACCAAAAUGUCAAGGUCCUGUACGUAGAGCCUAUAGCUCCUAACGAUCCCGGUGCAGUUGAAUUUGUUCCCGCGAGUAAGUUUAACAUUUAACCAACAAUGUUGAGAUUAUUUACCGACCCAUAGAAGAGAAUAUUAGUCCUUCAAUCAACGUUACUUCUGAUGACCUCAUCAAAGACAUUGAUUUGGAUUUUUUUGACAAAGAAGUUAAUAAUUCAAAUGAAGAGAGUUCCUUCUUGAAAAUGAAAGUACGGAUGUCGCUGAAAUUAUUUCAAAUGAAGUUCCAUCAAGAGCUUUCAGAGAAACAAGUACUGAAAAGGGGGUGAUGCUGGAAAAUAAAAAUGUGGUUGAAAAGGGUACCGAAGAAAUUUCCAGUACCUCACAAUUAACUACU